GACGAACGCUGGCGGCGUGCUUAACACAUGCGAGUCGAACGCUGAAGCACCAGCUUGCUGGUGUGGAUGAGUGGCGAACGGGUGAGUAAUACGUGAGUAACCUGCCCUUGACUCUGGGAUAAGCCCGGGAAACUGGGUCUAAUACUGGAUGCUACAUGUCACCGCAUGGUGGUGUGUGGAAAGGGUUUACUGGUCUUGGAUGGGCUCACGGCCUAUCAGCUUGUUGGUGAGGUAAUGGCUCACCAAGGCGACGACGGGUAGCCGGCCUGAGAGGGUGACCGGCCACACUGGGACUGAGACACGGCCCAGACUCCUACGGGAGGCAGCAGUGGGGAAUAUUGCACAAUGGGCGAAAGCCUGAUGCAGCGACGCCGCGUGAGGGAUGACGGCCUUCGGGUUGUAAACCUCUUUCAGCAGGGAAGAAGCCAUAAGUGACGGUACCUGCAGAAGAAGCGCCGGCUAACUACGUG
rnacentral:rRNA from 1 species